GACGAACGCUGGCGGCGUGCCUAAUACAUGCAAGUCGAACGCAUUUUCUUUCACCGUAGCUUGCUACACCGAAAGAAAAUGAGUGGCGAACGGGUGAGUAACACGUGGGUAACCUGCCCAUCAGCGGGGGAUAACACUUGGAAACAGGUGCUAAUACCGCAUAAUUCCAUUUACCGCAUUGUAGAUGGGUGAAAGGCGCUUUUGCGCCACUGAUGGAUGGACCCGCGGUGCAUUAGCUAGUUGGUGGGGUAACGGCCUACCAAGGCUGCGAUGCAUAGCCGACCUGAGAGGGUGAUCGGCCACACUGGGACUGAGACACGGCCCAGACUCCUACGGGAGGCAGCAGUAGGGAAUCUUCGGCAAUGGACGCAAGUCUGAACGAGCAACGCCGCGUGAGGGAAGAAGGUUUUCGGAUCGUAAAACUCUGUUGUUAGAGAAGAACAAGGAUGAGAGUGGAAAGUUCAUCCCUUGACGGUAUCUAACCAGAAAGCCACGGCUAACUACGUG
rnacentral:rRNA from 1 species